rnacentral:lncRNA from 1 species
UAACAAAGUAAACUUUUGUUGCAAUUUUGCAUCCAAGAUUUGAUAGGUCACAUCAUUUCUGGCUUUUAUGCCAAAGGGUGUCCUGAGAAUUGCUAUAAAAAUCGACCUUCUAUCCUAUGAAACUUUAUUUUCCAACCACCUGCUGUUGUAGAAGACUGAUGUGAAUACACCUUCAGGUGCCUGUAGGAUGAAAACAAACUUCCGGAUUCUUCAUGGUCCGCAACAAGCAUAUGGAGCUUCACUGUUAGAGCAACAAGCAUGGACGAUUGACUGUACUGUUGAUCAACAUGCAUCGAAAAGAUUUGAGCAAAGGAUUACCAUAGUCUGUAAAAGAAAAUUUAGUGAGACGACAGAUAGUUCUAACUUUUAAUACGCCCUAUGAAUCGGGAAGUGCAACAAGUUAAUGAAAGCACCGACGGUUAUAGAAAAGGACCCAAAAACAAAUUGAGUCAAAACGAGCCUCAACUUCACAGUCCAAGAAAGGAAGGAACACGCAUGGUACUACGGCACGCACCGUUCUUCCUCCCAACAAUAGGCGCC